UCCCUCUAUCCUCGAUCGACCAAGCCCUAAUAGAGCUAGCCGACCCUUGUCCCGUCCUUCACCUUCCUCUCCGGCGCCGAGCGACCUCCUCCCUCCUCCCUCCUUUUCCUCCCCCCAAAAGCUCGGGUCCGAGUCUUGGCCAUGGCCGGCGAUCGAAGAGUUUUUCCAGUUCGUUGCCUCUUCUUCUUCUGGAUCUCGUCUCUGCUCUCGAUCUCGCUCGCUUACAGGCCGGGAGACAUCGUGCCAAUGAGCAAGGCGGGCCAGUACCACGGGGUACUCACUGCCUCUCCGUGCCUUAUAUAUACUUGGGACGUCAGUCGUUCCUCCUCGCCUGAUCCUUCUCCCUCUCUGGCUCAAACUCUCGUGCGAUCUUUUGCUCCUCAAUCCUCUGAUUUUCGUCUGAGAAUCUUGAGAGUCCAAGAAAGGUUGCUGGGACGACAAUGCUGCCGCCGGGCUACUUGUUCAGACCGACCGACGAGAUUCUCCUCGUCGCCUACCUCAAGAACAAGCUACUUCGAUGGCCUCUUCCCUGCGACGUUAUCGUGGAGGGUGACGUCUAUGGAAGCCGCCCCCAGGACCUGGCCUUAGAAUAUCCCAUGGCAAACAAGGACUAUGAGUGGUUCUUCUUCACUUCUAACCCUCGGAAGCGUUCCGGCGCAAGCGAAACCAGCCGUGCAUCUCGGCGCGCAGGCCUGGGACGAUGGAAGGCCACGAAAGGCGUCAAGAAAGUGCUCGAUUCCAAGAAUAACACCAUUGGGUCGAAGCAGAGUUUCUGUUACAUGGAACAGAACUGGGACGGUGGCGAAGACAAAAGUAUCUGGUUGAUGGAGGAGUUCUCUAUGCAAAACCUUGAAGGGAGAGGCAGUGCUGGUUGAUGGAGGAGUUCUCUAUGCUUAAUCAUGUUUUUCUUUUCUGUAAUUAGAAGUUUUAAGAUUUGGGGAUUUAUAUCAGCGCUGUUUUCUUGAAGCUCCGAUCUGAAAUCUCAACUUUACCUUCCUUUUUGAGACUAAGCCUUACUGAGUCCACUAUUAACAUUAUCAUACAAUAUCCAUACGUCAUUUCCUGGUAUGAGGUCCUGCUAUUCAAUUUUUUAUAAUGGUUGCAUGUAGUGUUAGAACAAUAAAAGUUGGGCCUAUGGACCAGGCAUGUGGUGGGUUAUGCAGAUUGCUCAAGAUGUCAGCAAUUUUAAUAUGUGUCACUUCUUUGAAUUGUAGAAUGGAUUGAAGCUCUCCUAUGUUAGACACUCAGGCCAUCAAUGAAUUUGUUGGAGAUAAUAAUGACCAGAAAAACAUGUGGGAAAUAAUCAUGAGGGUGGAAGUUAUUACAUUAGGUUUCAUCUUUUAGUUUCUGUGCACAUGUUUUUUUUCCUAUGAAACAUGUAUUCUCAAUAUCAUGACCUGAAAAUGAUUAGUUUCCUAGCAUGGCAUGCUCUAGCAUUGUCGAUUACCACCCUAUUUUGCCACUUACUUCACAUGGUUGUAUAUUAAGUAUUAUUAACAUUUGUUGUUAAUCAAUAAAUAGAGUUUAUAUUUAUUCUGAUUUCUGAAUAUUUCUUCCUCAUGAUGCAGCAAGGAGGUAUAUAAAAAGUCUUGUGGUCAGAUUGUAUGUAAUAAUCUGCUUUUCUAGUGCUUUUGGAAAUCAGGAGCCAAGGAUUUCUUAUUAUUGAAUUUUCCCCCUUUAGGUGAUGACUGGGAGCAUGAAGAAAAUUUCACUGACGAUGAUGAGGCUGUGGGCAAUGAUCCAGAGGAACGGGAAGAUUUGGCUCCUGAAAUUCCUGCUCCACCAGAAAUUAAGCAGGUUGCUGAUACUUCUACUUGUAGAGAUGAUGAUGCCGUCGACCCUUGAUACAUCGUAGACUGUUUAUUUAGGAGUUUGAUAUGUAUGUUUUUAAUAUUUUUAAAGUACAAUGUAAUCAAAUAUGAUAAUAUGAUUAGUAAUUAAUAAAAAAAUUUUGUUUGUGAU